rnacentral:rRNA from 1 species
AACGUAGGAGGCGAGCGUUAUCCGGAUUUACUGGGUGUAAAGCGCGUGCAGGUGGUCUGGAAAGUUGGAUGUGAAAGCUCCUGGCUUAACUGGGAGAGGUCGUUCAAAACUACCAGACUUGAGUAUGGGAGAGGGAGGUGGAAUUCCGGGUGUAGUGGUGAAAUGCGUAGAUAUCCGGAGGAACACCAGUGGCGAAAGCGGCCUCCUGGCCCAAAACUGACACUCAGACGCGAAAGCUAGGGGAGCGAACGGG